CCUGGAGAGGUCUCACCUCUCACUGCAAUGCACUCAGAGCCUAUCAGGUAGAAUUUUAUAAUGGUAUUCGGGGGAAAAAACUAUGAAGUUGCCAUGAUGAUCAGAAGUUUGAAAUUUUUGGGUUGGAAGAGAUCUUAUCUUUUGACUCCCCAACAUCCAUUCUCCUUCAGGUAAUGAUGCUCACUGGCUUCCUACAUUAUGAAUGUCAACAGCUCUACUGGGAAUCCCAGGCUCUACUCCCAAACUUCACCCUGUGUAGAUU